UUACGAACAAAUCCUAGAGAUAAGAAGUUUUAAAAUCAAAACUAAUAAAAUGUUAGAGAUUACAGCUAAGGAGAUUGGUUACAUAGAGGGAAGGUAUUAGCAUCCAAAGUUUCCUAGGUACUCCUAGGGAGCCCUUUUUUGUGCGUAAGUGUUUUGGUAAAAAAUGAUUGAUAAAAAUGGAAUGGGGGGAUGAGAAAAGAAUUUAUUAAUUUUAUUUUUGUGUUUGAAAAGAC
rnacentral:lncRNA from 1 species